rnacentral:rRNA from 1 species
GACAGAGGUGCCAAGCGUUAGGCGGAAUCACUGGGCUUAAAGCGUGUGUAGGCGGACUUGUAAGUACCUUGUGAAAUCCCACGGCUCAACCGUGGAACUGCUGGGUAUACUGCGAGUCUUGAGCCAUCUAGGGGCUACCGGAACAAAUGGUGGAGCGGUGAAAUGCGUAGAUAUCAGGAGGAACACCAAUGGCGAAGGCAGCUCGCUGGGACGUGACUGACGCUGAGACGCGAAAGCGUGGGGAGCAAACAGG